AUGGCGCGCGUGUCGCUGAUCCUCGCCGCCGCGGUGCUCGCGUGCGCGGUGCUCGCCACCAGGGCCGGGGCCGCCGCCGCCGCCGCCGCCGGCCCGGCGGCCCCCGCCCCCGGCGGCUUCGCCUGCAACCCACUCAAGGACAAGACGUGCAAGCUGGGGGAACCCAAGGCGCCGGAGGACACGGAGGAGGAGGGCGGGCUCGGCACGAAGCUGCCGUCCCUGACGUCCAUCUCCAUUCCUGGCGCCGGCAAGGUCGACCGCGACGGCGAUGGAGACACCGACGAGGACGACGAGCUGCCGUCGUUCGACACCCACAUGACCAUCCUCGGCCACUGA
rnacentral:rRNA from 1 species